ACAAUUCAAUUAUUUGAAUUCACCAAACUAGUGGUUAAGUAGUAAGCCUUAAUUACACCAUAAAGGGUGUCACUUUAACCCUCUUAUACUCCAAUUACAUUCACAUGCCAUGCAUAUUCAUACAACAUCCUCCAAUAUCAAGUUUGGAUUCAUUUAUCCUUCCAACCAAUCCAUUAAACCAAAUUGAGUCAUAGACAUAAAUAAUCAUCAAUUCAAUAGUAUAUCACCAUAUCCACCUUCCAUAACUCAAUUACCAUAUCCACCUUCCACAAUUCAAUACAACCAAACCAUGCAAAAUAGUCCAUAACCCUAUUUCCAUCACCUUUCAAUAACAACCAAUACAUAUAAUCCUCUAUCACACAUAUACAUAUGGAAGAG
rnacentral:lncRNA from 1 species